UAAUACAGAGGGUGCGAGCGUUAAUCGGAAUUACUGGGCGUAAAGCGCGUGUAGGUGGAUGAAUAAGUUGGAUGUGAAAUUCCCGGGCUUAACCUGGGCAUGUCAUCCAAGACUGUUCAUCUAGAGUACAGUAGAGGGUAGUGGAAUUUCCGGUGUAGCGGUGAAAUGCGUAGAUAUCGGAAGGAACACCAGUGGCGAAGGCGGCUACCUGGACUGAUACUGACACUGAGAUGCGAAAGCGUGGGUAGCGAACAGGAUUAGAUACCCUGGUAGUCCACGCCGUAAACGAUGAUAACUAGCCGUUGGGUAUUUAAGAUACAAAGUGGCGAAGCUAACGCGAUAAGUUAUCCGCCUGGGGAGUACGGCCGCAAGGUUA
rnacentral:rRNA from 1 species